rnacentral:rRNA from 1 species
CCUACGGGUGGCUGCAGUGGGGAAUAUUGGACAAUGGGGGGAACCCUGAUCCAGCCAUGCCGCGUGUGUGAAAAAGGCCCUCGGGUUGUAAAGCACUUUCAGUGAGGAAGAACGCCUGGUGGUUAAUACCCAUCAGGAAAGACAUCACUCACAGAAGAAGCACCGGCUAACUCCGUGCCAGCAGCCGCGGUAAUACGGAGGGUGCGAGCGUUAAUCGGAAUUACUGGGCGUAAAGCGCGCGUAGGUGGCUUGAUAAGCCGGUUGUGAAAGCCCCGGGCUCAACCUGGGAACGGCAUCCGGAACUGUCAAGCUAGAGUGCAGGAGAGGAAGGUAGAAUUCCCGGUGUAGCGGUGAAAUGCGUAGAGAUCGGGAGGAAUACCAGUGGCGAAGGCGGCCUUCUGGACUGACACUGACACUGAGGUGCGAAAGCGUGGGUAGCAAACAGGAUUAGAUACCCCGGUAGUC